UUGAAUAUUUGCCUAGUGGCAGAUGGGUGAGUAACGCGUGGGCAACCUACCCUGUACAGGGGGAUAACAAUGGGAAACCAUUGCUAAUACCCCAUAAUACCUUUGAAGGGCAUCCUUGAAAGGUCAAAGAACUUCGGUAUAGGAUGGGCCCGCGUCUGAUUAGCUAGUUGGUGGGGUAAUGGCCUACCAAAGCAACGAUCAGUAGCCGGCCUGAGAGGGUGAACGGCCACACUGGAACUGAGACACGGUCCAGACUCCUACGGGAGGCAGCAGUGGGGAAUAUUGCACAAUGGGGGAAACCCUGAUGCAGCAACGCCGCGUGAGCGAUGAAGGCUUUCGAGUCGUAAAGCUCUGUCCUAAGGGAAGAAAAUGACGGUAGCCAAGGAGGAAGCCCCGGCUAACUACGUGCCAGCAGCCGCGGUAAUACGUAGGGGGCAAGCGUUAUCCGGAAUUAUUGGGCGUAAAGGGUGCGUAGGCGGCCUUAUGGGUCAGAGGUUAAAUACUACGGCUUAACCGUAGUAUGCCUUUGAAACUAUAGGGCUUGAGUGCAGGAGAGGAGAGUGGAAUUCCUAGUGUAGCGGUGAAAUGCGUAGAUAUUAGGAGGAAUACCAGUGGCGAAGGCGACUCUCUGGACUGCAACUGACGCUAAGGCACGAAAGCGUGGGUAGCGAACAGGAUUAGAUACCCUGGUAGUCCACGCCAUAAACGAUGAGUGCUAGGUGUUGGGGGUCAAACCUCGGUGCCGCAGUUAACGCAUUAAGCACUCCGCCUGGGGAGUACGUUCGCAAGAAUAAAACUCAAAGGAAUUGACGGGGACCCGCACAAGCAGCGGAGCAUGUGGUUUAAUUCGAAGCAACGCGAAGAACCUUACCUGGAUUUGACAUCCCUCUGACCGUCUCUUAAUCGAGAUUUUCCCUUCGAGGACAGAGGAGACAGGUGGUGCAUGGUUGUCGUCAGCUCGUGUCGUGAGAUGUUGGGUUAAGUCCCGUAACGAGCGCAACCCUUGUCUUUAGUUGCCAUCAAGUAAAGUUGGGCACUCUAAAGAGACUGCCAAGGUAAACUUGGAGGAAGGUGGGGAUGACGUCAAAUCAUCAUGCCCUUUAUGUCCUGGGCUACACACGUACUACAAUGGGCGUUACAACGGGCAGCGAAACCGCGAGGUGGAGCGAAUCCCCAAAGGCGCCCUCAGUUCGGAUUGCAGGCUGAAACUCGCCUGCAUGAAGCCGGAAUUGCUAGUAAUGGCAGGUCAGCAUACUGCCGUGAAUACGUUCCCGGGCCUUGCACACACCGCCCGUCA
rnacentral:rRNA from 1 species